rnacentral:tRNA from 1 species
AGGAUUAUAUUUAAUUAUAAUAUUUGAUUUGCAAUCAAAAGGUACUCAUGUUAAUCUUG